rnacentral:rRNA from 1 species
GAUGAACGCUGGCGGCGUGCUUAACACAUGCCAGUCGAACGGAAAGGCCAGUGCUUGCACUGGUACUCGAGUGGCGAACGGGUGAGUAACACGUGGGUGAUCUGCCCUGCACUUCGGGAUAAGCCUGGGAAACUGGGUCUAAUACCGGAUAGGACAAUGGUUUGGAUGCCGUUGUGGAAAGUUUUUUCGGUGUGGGAUGAGCUCGCGGCCUAUCAGCUUGUUGGUGGGGUAAUGGCCUACCAAGGCGUCGACGGGUAGCCGGCCUGAGAGGGUGUACGGCCACAUUGGGACUGAGAGACGGCCCAGACUCCUACGGGAGGCAGCAGUGGGGAAUAUUGCACAAUGGGCGCAAGCCUGAUGCAGCGACGCCGCGUGGGGGAUGACGGCCUUCGGGUUGUAAACUCCUUUCGCUAGGGACGAAGCGUAUUUGUGACGGUACCUGGAGAAGAAGCACCGGCUAACUACGUG